AGGUUUCUUCAAACACUCUGGAUAUUUACAGUUAACAAAGAUCUCUGCAAAGACUACCAUGGCACAUGUGAUUCAUCUAUCAUUACUGCAGCUAGCAGUGAGCCUGCUGCCCUGUUUUUCAACACCAAACUCUGGAAAAAUCA